UACAGAGGGUGCGAGCGUUAAUCGGAUUUACUGGGCGUAAAGCGUGCGUAGGCGGCCUAUCAAGUCGGAUGUGAAAGCCCACAGCUUAACUGUGGAACUGCAUUCGAAACUGGUGGGCUUGAGUGUGAGAGGGGUGAAGGGAAUUCCCGGUGUAAGGGUGAAAUCUGCAGAGAUCGGGAGGAACACCUGUCGCGAAGGCGCUUCACUGGCUCACUACUGACGCUGAGGGACGAAAGCUAGGGUAGCCAACGGG
rnacentral:rRNA from 1 species